UAAUGUUUUAUAACCUUUUGCUGGCAGCUAGCUCUCUGUAACUCUCACAUGGUCGCCCACUGAAGCUAAGCAGGGCUGUGCCUGGUCAGUACUUGGAUGGAAGACCACAUGUGUUGCUGGAAGUGGCGUUAG
rnacentral:rRNA from 1 species